GCGAGAUCGUGACGUGGCUGAAGUCGGACGCCUAACUGACUGCGCCACCCAGGCGCCCCUCCUCUGUAGGAGUCUUGACUUGUGGCUCAUCUAUCACCUGGGUAAGGUCUCUCUUUUUUCAACACCUUCCACCAUAAUCUUAAGCACUCCCACAAACUCAUUUUCAGUUAACAUACAACUAAGAAAAACAGAAUGUUUGCUUCUCCCCAUUCGCAGUUCUAAGCAGAGUACUGUCCAUAGGUUCCUCCUAUACAAAUUCCAGCGCUGUCAAAAAGAAAUCCUUUACAUGUCCAGGGUAGGUGAAAGGAAUGAGUGUUGAAUGAAAAGAACAUGGGCAAACAUCUGCACGGGUGGAAAGGAGAGUAGUCGAUUCGGGCAAAGAAAUAAAACUCAACCAUUGGUUGACUUUUGGGUGAUCAGGACUGGUAAUAUAAUCUUACUCCUGUAUUCACUAUGGUUGUGCAGGUAUAGCUACAGAAUCACUCCUAGGGCAGGAUUACAGGUGGAAGCCAGACCAUGUGGCAAUUAUUUUCUUCAGCACAAAAUUGCAUUUGAGAAGCUGGCCAAUCACUAUUGCUAAACCUCCAUCUAGAUUCUUCUACCUUAAUUCAAUGCCACAACAUUAUUCUGAUUGGCAUUGCGAGGUGGGUUUUUUGUUUUUGUUGUUUUGUUUUUUUUCGUUUGUGUUUGUUUUAAGGAAAAAAAUAAAGACAAAAAGUAAUCAUGUUGUUAGCAAGAUGGAUUCAAUACAACGUGAUUUGGGUUGUUUUAACAUUACAGCUUAACUAAAUUGACCUUGGUUUUUAGACCAGUUGAAUAGAUACAUAUUACUCUGAUUUAACAAAAGGAUGAAAGAAUAAUUAAAACAUGAAAUUUAUGCAUGCACCAUCUAACUACCUCUGUGUAGUUAAAUGUAAUUUGUAGAUUUCCAGCAAGGAAUUUGUGGAGAAUUAAAAUGAAAAGAAAUAAAGGCUUGGGAAAGUAGCACUGAAAUGGAUGGAAAAUAUGAAAUUAAUUAUCUCUAGUCCAAAAAAAAAAUCUGUUUCUUAUAAAGAAUUGGAAAUCUGUUGCACUUCAGAAUUAUUUACAUUGUUUCACAAAUGUUCUCACUGUCAGUGGAAGAAUGAUAUGUGAACAAGUAUCUUUUGUCACAUGAGCCAUGUAUAUAGAGCUGGGAAAGGGUCCAGAGGACUGGUCCAGUCCAGUUCUGUAUCCAGUAGGAUGAAGACCUCAACUGCUUGAAAUAAGUGGUUCCUAUCUACUUUUGCUAGGUCUUUCUUUUAUGUAAAAACAAGCAAACAAAAAAUAAAAAAAGGAUGACCUGUUUUUCUUCUUGAUUUUUAAAAUUUCUUUAAAGAAAAUAUUAUCUGAAACAUUAUAUAAUCUAGACUCAGUUUUAGGUUUGUUUUUUUCUGUUUUUAUGUUGUAUCAAUACUAAGAAAAGGAUCAAGUUACCAGCAACAUACUAAAAAUUUCCCAGCAGAUAUGAAUUUAGCUCUACAUAUGUAAAAAAGAAUGAACUGAUUUGAAGGGGGAUUAGUUAGAAUUGGCAACACUGAAAAAGGAAAACUGUAGAAGAAAAUCUUAGUGGCACUCAUUCAGCUCCUAUCCAGAGGAAAAGGAGUGUUCGUCACCAGACGAAGUACUGAGAUCACAAUGGGCAUCUCACUUCUAUUUUGAGAUCAAUAUUUUAAGAUGACUUAGCUCGCAUAUAUUAAACUUGAAAUUCAAUUGGGCCCUGAUAAAAUACUUAUCAAGAAAACUUCUAUUAUCAUUAGGAUUUCCAUGAAGCUCUGCCUACAAGGAGAAAAUCAUCUUGACCCUGGACAGACCAGAAAACAUUUAGAAUCAAAUCUAGAAAACUUAUUCUGGGAAUGAGCAGCCUCUAAAAAUUCUUUUGGUUUGAGAUUGUCCUGGUUUGUGCAUGACAAGCAGGGGAAAGCAAUUGUGCUUCCUAAUUUCAGCUGGUGAUCCUAAGGAUCCACACCUGGGCUGGGGCGUGUGCAAACAGGUAUCAGGGAGCCAAACACAGAGCCUGAGCCAUUCUUGCUCUUUCAGAGAGUAUGCCUCUGAGCUGUGCCUAGAGUGGUUAAGCCUCCAGAGUUAGUGAAUUCUAUAGGUGACAAGCUAUGGUUCUAACAAUCUUUGAACCUAGAUGUGCUUUUUAAGUCUUACCUGCUCUUCCAGUGAUUGAGAUUCUCCACCUAUAAAGCCCCCAGAUGAAAUCUGCAAAGCCCAGAUCUUCAGGAUGGGAGGAUGCACAGGAACCAUAAGCAGAUGCUCAGAAAUAGAGAAUCUUCAUUUGUUGAAGAUAAGAAGGGCACAGAAUGGACUAGCAGAAAACAGGUACUCAGCUGGUAAAGAAGGGAGAGACCCAACAUUUGUUUUGGUCUGCAGGAUAGAACUUCAUUUUGAGGCUGGUGGAGAAGAUACAAAACUCAGAAGCCUGCUCCACGGAGACUGCCUGGCUGACUGCUAUUUCUAAGUUUAUCAUACUGUAAGGAAUCACAGCAUGUAUUUCCAAUGUCAUCCCUGACCUUGUGAGGAGGUAGAAGACUGAAAGAAUUUGGAAGAAGCUGUAGUGUGGACAAGAGAACACAAUUUGGGUUAAAGAAUGAUUACAACCACAUAGUACUAUGCAUUCUGAGGUCUGACCUCAUAAACUGCGAUUCUGAUCACCUAUGGCUGAGACCAUGUAAGAAACGUGACUGGUAUUUCACAAGUUAUUUGGAAGCCACAAAAAUAUGUCUGACACGAGGUAGCUCUUACUGAACCUUGUAAAAUGGAAAUGCAAAGUUUUUAUACCACAAUGAUAAUGUAAUUGAGAAAAAAAAUCUUUUUAAAGUAAAGGAGCAUAAAACAUCAUUUUUUGAAGAACUUAAUGGACUAUUGUGGCGCUCUGGGUGCUAGGUCACAGCUACACAGUAUUUUACUGACUUUUGCAAGUACACUGAAUUCUAUCACCACAGUUAAGGGACCUCAUGGUCUCUCUCUUCAAUGAUUUAAAUCCUUGAGAAUUAUUUAAGUGCUUAUAUUAUUCUCCUUACUAUUUCCACACCCACCUUCCAACUGAGAGAAUUCUUUUAAAUUACCUAGAUGCAUACCCUCAAUGCACGUAUGCACACAAAGUGUCUUCUAGUGGUUUGCACUUAGAAAACUAUUCCUCUACAAAUGAAUGGCUCUCAUUGGUGCUAAAUAAUCAGAUAGCAUCAUUCAUUCUAGCCCCGUAAAAAUGACCAAAUAAGAAAUUGAGUGACAUAAAACAACAGUUGAACGUGGAGGUUCACGAGUGUGAAGCACGACUCCUAACUGGGAAAUGAAUCCCAUCACCUCACAUAGGAUUGUUCUGUGUUACUUUCUUAGCAAUAGUUUUAGUUUUUUCCUCUAAUAACUCACUGCCUUAAUUACUUCUAAUAGACCUUAAAGAAGACCCGUAUUUUUAUUCAAAGAUGCAAUAAUGACUUCCACACAAAACCAUCAUUAAAUAAUUUUUCCUGAGGACCUUGAAUUUCAUUUUCCUAGAAAUCAUUGUUUUGAAUCUAGUUUUCUUUCUGGUGGCCAGAAUGCAGAUGUUUGUCUUCGCUUCCAGUUUUCUACCCUAAUAUUAACUUUGCCCUUCAACUUGGGUAAAAAUCAUAUAAUAGUAAUGAUGCUUAAAAAAAGGCACUUAUUGGUUAUAAUGGCAUAGUUUUAUAAUGGUACUAGUUUUCCUGGAGGGCCUGAAUUUUAUUUUGAAAUCAUAUGUAAUGAGUUCCUAAAAGUGCCAUGUCAUUGCAUUUUUCUGGAUCUUAAAGGUAUUCUUUUUAUGCACUAAUUACAUAUAGUACCUCAAAUUUUAAAUUUUGGUCAUAGAACUGAACCGAUUCCUACUGGGAAAAGUGGGAGAAUGGGGGAAAAAUAAUUAGAGCAAAAAUAUGAUUAUAAAUAUUUGAUAUAGUUACAUUAGGAAUUAAAGACAGGUUCAAGUUGAGGUUAAGUAGUUUUAACAAGCCAUCCUUUAAGUUUUAUGAUAGCAUUUGGGUGUUGAUCUGUUACACCUAUUUAUUAUACUCUGGUCUUUCCUCGGCUGUUAACAGCUGGUCAGCAACUCACUUUUGCCCUGGGAUUUUUAGCCAUGCAGGCAUGGUUACCAUCAAUGCCUUUAAAAAGAUUUAUGCUUAAAAAAAUAUUUUACAAACCUUUUGUAAAACAGAGGCUGUCAAAUAAAUUGGAUGACAUUUCUGUCCCAUUUGAUUCCUGGCAUUGGGCCAAGACCUCUAUUAAAAUCAAAGAAUGCAGUCAGCUCUUCAAGCACUGUCUCUUUCUGCAACUGUGGUUUUGCAAAGACCCUGCAGAUUCUGUAGCCCAGAAGGCUGCAUGUCCUGAGUGGGUGCUUUCCUUUUUAGCAGUAGCAGAAUAACAGGACACUGAGCAUCACGCAGAGGCCUCAACCCAGCCUUGUUCCUUCCACUCAGACACAUUGUCUAAUGUGGGAAUUGCACCCCGGGGAACCAGACAUCAAGGUUUCAGUCAUUCAUUGAAAUACUGCCCCAUAAAACACCACUCCAUUUUGUUGCACCAGACACAGGGGCAGGUAUGUGUGCACAUGCCUCUCUGGGCUAGGAAAUUGCUAAGGAAAAGCAGAGCAGAGCUGGUAGAAGCAAGUUCCAGGUUCCAAGGUUUCUAAGAAGCCAUGUUUGACAGCACACCACAUUUUCUGUUUCAUUGGUUUCCAUUAAUUUUUAAAAUGUUAUUCUAAGUCAGAUAAGCGAUUUUUCAACCAGGAUGGGGUUAUAUUUCUGAGAAUGCAGAUAAAAUCAAACUUUAAAUUUUGGUAAGGGAAUGCAACUUGAAUUCUACGUUAGAAAACUUAAGUUUUGUGUUCGUGUUCAGUAAGCUUGGCUAGGAGCCUGGAUGUGGGAAGUCGGAACGUAGAACCAAGCUCAGAGAUGGGGUAAAGGGCUUACUCUUGAAGCUAGGACUAACAAGUCUUGUCAAUCCAAGGACAGAGGCCAAAACUCGCUCUGGGAAAGGAUGGCCUAACUUCUGGGCUUUUCAGGGUGAACUCGGAGCCUCAAAGAAGAAAUGAUAUAAAUGAAUAGCUGGCUUCCUAGACCAAAGAGAAGGAGGACCAUGCACAUAAAUUCAUGGGUUUUUAAGAGUUGGAGGGUGCUUCCUAAUGUUACAGAUGAGGAAACAGAGAUCCAAGGGGACAGCUGUCUCUAUCAGGCUCAUUUAUGUGAUGGGGGUUGGGAGUGGUGGGAAGCAAAUGGACAAA